CUUUUUUACUCGGAAAGUACCCGCUGUGAAUGGUCGCAACGCAGCAUCAGCUGCAACAUCCAGGUUGAUUGUUUUGUUAAAGACCAUGCCAAGAUAUUUGAAAGUAUCUGUGUAGGGGAGCUGCGUACCAUCAAAGUAAAGUGGGGGCAAGUUGUCAGACCUGGAAUUGAAGCACAUCACCUCAGAUUUAAGUGUGCUGACAGUCAGUGACUUCCUUCGAGUGUAGGCUCUCAAUUUGUUGAGCAUGGUCUGCACGUUGGUAUGGUCAUUGGACAUGAGAGAGAGGUCAUCAGCGAACAGCAGGUGAGUCACCAUGAAAUUGGGAAUACCGGUGAGCGCCCCCUGCACCCCUUCAACCAGACAGUCAAUGUCGUUCAAGUAAAUUGAAAACAGCAGGGGGGAGAGAGGGCACCCUUGUUUGACCCCAAAAGAUGGUUGCACAUUUGCUCUCUUGUCCCCAUCCAGGAGCGUGUACUCAUCCUCACGGUACAAGUCUUUCAGGAUAGACACAAUGUGGUGUGGCAUCUGGCAGUUGUGUAAAUGUUCCCUAAGUUGCACAAUACGGGAAUACGGAUACGGAUAUGGAUACGGAUACGGAUACGGAGGGGCUGAUACGGGAAGCAAAGAAUUCACCAAAGACUCUGAAACUGGCAGGAAUGAGCACUGGACCCCUCCCAUUAUGCAUGUAAUACACAUUGACAUGAAUCUACGAUGUACCAAGUGGUCCGCUAGGUGUUUGUGUAGGCCAGUGCAUGUUGUCAUCACCAUGCCAGAAUAAACAAGGACAACUUUCUCAGAAAUGGACCACUCCCCCAUAACUGGACAUGCUCUAUCCCAACCUUUUUUUUUCCAAAAUCCAACCAUGCCAACUACAAUUUCAUCAGAAAAUAUCAUGUUGUUCAAAAGAUGAUGAAAAUCGGAGGACCUCAGAUCACCGAGAAAGGUCCCACAGCUGCACCGUGUGUGCUGCCUCCAAUCCUUGCCCAUCCUCGUUUUACUAAAUUAUAUUCAAAAUGAAAUAUUGUAAACGGGUCAAGGCCAGUGCUAUCGUCAAAGCUCAGUUCUCCAGAUCCUCUCCAAGGCCCGCCCCGCUCUCUGCUGUUCAGGCCGUACUGGAUACAAUACGAAAUACGCCGUAUUGAUACGAAUACGCCGUAUUGAGGGUCUAAUACGCCGUAUUGUGCAACUUAGAAUGUUCCCACCUAAGUUGCACAAUACGCCGUAUCAGACCCCAAAUACGGCGUAUUCGUAUCAAAUACGUCGUAUUCGUAUUCCCGUAUCCGUACCAAUUUCACCAGAUUUAGCAGGAUUUUGCUGGAUUUUUGCCGUAUCCGUACUCGUAUUCGUAUUCGUAUCCGUAUCCGUAUUCCCGUAUUGUGCAACUUAGGUUCCCACAGCUUGCUCCUUGGAAUGGAGUCAUAAGCUUGCCUGAAGUCAAUGAAGGCAGUAUACAGUCGUGAUGAUCCCCCUUGUACUUUCUGAGCUGCAUCUCGCAAGUGCCGCAGGAUGAACAGGGGUUGCAGGGUACUACGGCCGGGGUAAACACAAACUGUGUGUCCG
rnacentral:lncRNA from 1 species